rnacentral:rRNA from 1 species
UACGAAGGGGGCUAGCGUUGCUCGGGAUUACUGGGCGUAAAGGGCGCGUAGGCGGCCACCGCAAGUCGACUGUGAAAUCUCCGGGCUUAACUCGGAAAGGUCAGCCGAUACUGCGGGGCUAGAGUGCAGAAGGGGCAACUGGAAUUCUCGGUGUAGCGGUGAAAUGCGUAGAUAUCGAGAGGAACACCUGCGGCGAAGGCGGGUUGCUGGGCUGACACUGACGCUGAUUGUGCGAAAGCUAGGGGAGCGAACGGG